UGCAAGUCGCGCGAGAAAGCCGGGGCAACUCGGCGAGUACAGCGGCGGAAGGGUGCGUACUACAUGGAUAACGUACCCUCCAGUGGGGGAUAACCCGCCGAAAGGCGGGCUAAUACCGCAUGAUGGCGAGAGGUGGCGUCAUCUUUCGCUUAACGCAGCAAUGCGCUGGAGGAGCGGUCCAUGGCCUAUCAGCUAGUUGGCGGGGUAACAGCCCACCAAGGCGAUGACGGGUAGCCGGACUGAGAGGUUGAACGGCCACACUGGGACUGAGACACGGCCCAGACAUCUACGGAUGGCAGCAGUAGGGAAUCUUGCACAAUGGGCGAAAGCCUGAUGCAGCGACACCGCGUGGGGGAUGAAGGGCUUCGGCUUGUAAACCCCUUUCAUGAGGGAAGAACACUGACCUAACCUCAGGAAGAAGCACCGGCUAACUCCGUGCCAGCAGCUGCGGUAAUACGGAGAGUGCGAACGUUGUUCGGAUUCACUGGGCGUAAAGGGCACGUAGGCGGCUCAGCAAAUCAGUCGUGGAAUCCCGACGCUUACCGUCGGAACGGCGGCUGAAAAUACUGGGCUUGAGGGCGUGAGGGGUCACUGGAACUCCCGGCGAAGCGGUGAAAUGCGUAGAUAUCGGGAGGAACGCCGGAGGCGAAAGCGAGUGACUGGCGCGUUCCUGACGCUGAGGUGCGAAAGCUAGGGGAGCAAACAGGAUUAGAUACCCUGGUAGUCCUAGCCGUAAACGAUGGACAUUGAGUGAAGGGGGGCUUGCCCCUCUUUGCUGCAGCUAACGCGUUAAAUGUCCCGCCUGGGGAGUACGGCCGCAAGGUUAAAACUCAAAGGAAUUGACGG
rnacentral:rRNA from 1 species